CCUACGGGUGGCUGCAGUCGAGAAUCAUUCACAAUGGGGGAAACCCUGAUGCUGCGACGCCGCGUGGGGGAAUGAAGGUCUUCGGAUUGUAAACCCCUGUCAUGUGGGAGCAAAUUAAAAAGAUAGUACCACAAGAGGAAGAGACGGCUAACUCUGUGCCAGCAGCCGCGGUAAUACAGAGGUCUCAAGCGUUGUCCGGAAUUACUGGGCGUAAAGGGUGAGUAGGCUGGUUGGUAAGUCGUGUGUGAAAGGCGCGGGCUCAACCCGAGGACUGCACAUGAUACUGCGAGACUAGAGUAAUGGAGAGGGAAGCGGAAUUCUUGGUGUAGCAGUGAAAUGCGUAGAUAUCGAGAGGAACACUCGUGGCGAAGGCGGGUUCCUGGACAUUAACUGACGCUGAGGCACGAAGGCCAGGGGAGCGAAAGGGAUUAGAUACCCUUGUAGUC
rnacentral:rRNA from 1 species